GACGAACGCUGGCGGCGUGCUUAACACAUGCAAGUCGAACGGAAAGGCCCUGCUUGCAGGGUACUCGAGUGGCGAACGGGUGAGUAGCACGUGGGUGAUCUGCCCUGCACUUCGGGAUAAGCCUGGGAAACUGGGUCUAAUACCGGAUAGGAGCCAUUUUUAGUGUGAUGGUUGGAAAGUUUUUUCGGUGUAGGAUGAGCUCGCGGCCUAUCAGCUUGUUGGUGGGGUAAUGGCCUACCAAGGCGGCGACGGGUAGCCGGCCUGAGAGGGUGGACGGCCACAUUGGGACUGAGAUACGGCCCAGACUCCUACGGGAGGCAGCAGUGGGGAAUAUUGCACAAUGGGCGCAAGCCUGAUGCAGCGACGCCGCGUGGGGGAUGACGGCCUUCGGGUUGUAAACUCCUUUCGCUAGGGACGAAGCUUUUUGUGACGGUACCUAGAUAAGAAGCACCGGCUAACUACGU
rnacentral:rRNA from 1 species